rnacentral:lncRNA from 1 species
AACCUAAUUAAAUCUUAAACCCUAAUAAAUCCUAAAUCCUAAGUCAAAUCCUAAACAAACCUUAAAUUAAACCCUAAAUCAAACCCUAUUUCAAAUCCUAAAUCCUAAACCAAACCCUAAAUCAACCCUAAAUCCUAAUCCAAAUCCUAAAUCCUAAACCAAACCUUAAAUCAAACCCUAAUUAAAUCCUAAUCCAAAUCCUAAAUCAAACCCUAACAAAACCCUAAUCUAAAUCCUAAAUUCUAAAUCAAACCCUAAAUCGAACCCUAGCAAAAUCCUAAUCCAAAUCCUAGUAAUUCCUAUGACACAUUUAAACCUCAAUUUCUAAUGAAUAAACCAUUGAUCUCAAUUCAAAAUUUCCAUACUUCUUGAAAAUCAAGUUUAAAACAAGCACAAAAUUUUUGAAAAGGAUCGGAGUUACCAAAUUGACGAAAACCUCAAAAAUGUGUUCGGGUGUUAGCCAGUCUCCUUCUCCAAUCUUAAUGCCAACCUUCCAAAGCCAAUUUCUCUUCUUUGCGCCGUUCGAUUGGUUUCAAAUUUCUCAUGGACAUAGAAAAACAAGUCUAAUCCCCUCUCACAUAAGUUUUACUCCAAUCCAACUAGUAGAUUGCAUGAAAUCUUAAAAACCCUCACUAGACCUAAAAUUCUACUUUGUGAGACCUUGACC